GCAUGGAUGCACACGAGGGGGUGGCAUGCUUGUUGAAUCACUCCCUCUAUCUAUCCACCUUUCUCCAUAAAUCUGUUCAUCUAUUCAUCCCCGUGCACAUCGUGGUAUGUUUAAGGACAGCCCCCAUCAUCUGACACACUCAUACGCAGACUUACGCCUCCAUGAUGUGUCACUAUCCUUCCACCUGCCUCUUCUCAUCAUUCCCCGCUUGUUACCUACACUUGUGCUGCCUCCUCCAUCACUUUUUUAAAAAAUUCCAUUUUAUUCUUUCUCUCUUUGCUUCUUUCUCCUACCCCUCCGCACGGUGUGUCACCAAUACGAGAUAGAAAGAAAAAUGUUACUGCAGAUAAGGUUAAUAAGAGAAAAGCAGCAAAGUAAAGGACUCCGAAAGGAGACAAAAACUGGAUUGAGUUUUACUUCCAACUCUCUUGGAAUAUCCCAGAAGAUGAAGGUUGACAAGAAGGAGAAGAUGGAGAAGAAUUUGAAAGCAGAACACUGAUACGAUUCAGAGGGCAGGACUUUCCAGAAGAGGCUGCUUACCUCCUUCCAGUCCAGUCUCAUUGUCCUUACACACGCAUGCACAUCGCUACCGUUUGUGCAUGUCUGUGUGAGGACAGGGUGCAGCCGGUCAUUUUGAAUACUUUCACUUAGCUGAGUACCAUGCUGACUUCUGCGAUCUACGAGACAGCAGCAAAUUAGUUUGGAGAUGCCCUUCACCUGUGUCUGCUUUUGCGGCCUAAACCACUUCUGCAACAGACAGAAGGUGAAGAAAAAGCAAGAGCUAAAGGAAGAGGAAAGCGCGAAGGUAGAACAAUGGAAGGAUCAAGACUCAUUUGUGUGACAACUUUAGAAUAUAUAGGCUGCAAUAAAAUGGCUUUAUAUAUUUUAAGUAGGAUUGUUAACAGAUUUAAUGUUUGAUACACUGGCUUAAUUUAAACUGAAAUGGUGAUAUGGCCCAGGAUUUUUCCCGUUCUUUCUGUCACUCCCUGAAACCAGCAACCUUAAAGAUGUCUAGAGUUUUUGACUCCCUAUUACCCAUUCUUUGCUUUUGUUACUGUUGUAUUUGGUGUCCCUGUCUGCUUGGGUGUGUGUUGGGGAGGGGGUACUUUUUUCAUUUCAUUCCAUUCAUUUUUUGAAAAUGUGUAGUGUGUAGUGACAUGAAGUCAGCGGGAACCAGAAAUCCAUUAUUUCUCUCAUGUCACACCUCUCAGUGUGCCCCAUUGCUCUUUUCUCCUCCUUAAUCGCCGCUCUACACUGAAUUGGAACCUAAUCCGCGCACAUCGCUGCACCUCCUCAUCUGCCCGUUGAUGUCAGUUCAAUUUAGGGAAAAUUCCAACUUAGUAAGAAACUCAAAAGCCAUUUCCAAAGUCACCCGUGGUGUGCUGGAGCCCCAUCUUGAUUUUCACACUGAGCUGGGCACGAUCGAAAGCGGAGCAGCUGUCCAAUCAGCAGCGUCACUCAAGUGUAAAGAUAGGAGUCAAGGGUCAAAAUGAGCAACAGGGUAUGUGUGAAUUCCCCACUCAGACACCAGAACAUCCUUGGCUCACGAAUAGACAGAUAAGUAAUUACAAACACAGCCAUCAAUUAAUGUCUUCCAGUCAACGUGUCUGCCCGUAAAUACCACCACUGUGAAUAUUCAGUUAUCACCUGUUUGAAUGCGUGAGUUUAGAGUGUCCGUUUUAGUGGACACAAUAGACUUUCAAGCCUGAAACAAAUGGAUAAGAUUUCUAUUCAAACACCAUUGCACUACCUUUUCAAAAUUCAAAUGAAGACCCGAAGACAAAGAUGCCCACACACACAUUCAUAGGUCUCAUUAGUGUUUGUGAUUAUGCAUCACACGUCCAGUCAGCCAGUAGAGAUGUAAUUAACCUUUUCCACCAGGAAACAGAUGCCUGGAUGUCGCACACACAUACAGUAGACACAUGCAAUGAUGCACACACACAUGCCCGCUGUCAGGGAAACAAAGCCAACGUCACGGUGUCAGGGAAACAAAGUCGCCAAAAACAGUGGCUGGCUGGCACUCCGUGAUAAUCCCUUCUUGCAUAUUACAUUUACGGUUUAGCGAACAGAUCAGUGAAGCUGCCUCCGCCAAGCCUCUACCCUUUCUUGCUAUUUUCAGCCUAUUAAUAUAUGGACAGCCAUGGUUCUGCUAAUGUGUGAUUCUGCAUCAAAUUGUUGACUGUUUGCUAAUACUAUCACUACAAGUCUUGAAAUUCAAUACAGCUAGUCACUUCACAGUGUAGAACACCUAUUAUGAUUCACAAUGUUCCAAUCCUGCUCUAAUGAGAAAGAAAGUGAGCAAGGGUUGGAAAACAAUAGGAGGGGUAGACAGAAAAGAAGAAGGGAGGGAUGAAUAUGAAGAAGAGGGGGUCGAACUCAAGACGGUGCAGUAAUGCUAAUUGGUUACAGUGGAUAACUUUCUAAGGCAGGGGGUGUGUGUGGUGGGGGUGAUGAUAGGGUUAGGGAGUGGGAUGGCAAUGGAAAAAAAACAGCCUUAUCUGUCAGCAUUACAUUCGUUUAAUGCUCUCUCGAUUUCACCUCAUUAAUGCGAGAAAUGUUCGCUUCAGUAAUGGUGAAUGGCUUGAAAUUGGGAAUGGUGCACUGCUCCCACAGACAAACACACACGUAUGGGUGCACACGAAGUAUAGUUUCACCUAUUCCUUUAUGGAUCACAAGAAUGCUUGGGGAUUAUAAUUCAAGGACAAAAAGAUAAAAAUAGAAGGGUGGUGCAUGACUUCUGCAAUAGUAGGAGGAGGUGGAGGAUGAGGUGUAUAUGUGUGAGAGGGAGGUUACAGUGAAAAUGAGCCCUGUCGCAUUAGAUUUGGGUCAAGAAUGGGGGAGAGAAAGCAGAGGAUGGGGGCGAGUUAUACAGAUGGUGGGGAGAUUCAUCACUUGCUUAGCUCUGUGUCCCUCCCUAUUCUACUUUGAAACUUUUUCCUUUUUCAUGCAGUACACUCACGCGCACUACACCCCCCACACACACACAUACACACGCGCACGCACACCUACCACAAAAAGAGGAUGAAAGAUUAGUAGGAUUAGUAAUAAGAAAAAGAAAGCAGUAGAGAAAAUAUAUCAUUGUAGAAAAUCAGAGGCCAAAUCCAGGAUUAAUUAAUUGUCAUUAAAAUAUUUAUGUAUGCAAUUCCAUUUCUGGAUAUUUUUGCUGUAUAAUGAGUGAAUUUAUUAAUGCUAAUUCCGGUUAGGCUAGAGACCUAAUGAUUGCAAGUGUGCUUAACUUUCAAGAAGAAAAUGUAAGCAAUAAUUUGGUGUUGUAAAAAUUUUAGCACAUCUGGGAGUGGAAUCUUCAACCAUCGUUAUUAAUGCUACAUGCCCCGCUCAGUCUUCCUUUCAGAGUGCGGUCAUGUGCAUCAGCCUGUGAUUGCUACAUUGCACUAAUUCAUAUCCAUCCUGUGUGUUUUUUUUUUUGAAAAUGAUGGUCUCAAUCAGGUCAAUUAAUUGGCCUUAGUCACAAGGGAAGAGCCAACAGUGCAAUUGGCAAUUGGUUUCCUCACCAAUAUGCAAGCAGCAGCAGCAGAGAGGACGACAAGAGGGCAAAUUAAAAUGAACUGAGUUUGUUUGUUUGUUUGUUUGUUUGUUUGUUUGUUUGUUUGUUUUUUUGUUUGUUUUAAACCGGGUCUUUGUAAUUUUUCAGAUGUAUGCAAGCAGGCGCGUUUAAAAAGAGAAACGUUUGCUCCAAUGUGGGUGUGAACACAGAAGGUCUCAUUCCAAUUGAAUGCGGGAUGUGAAGGGAGCAUUGAUUGUGUUUGGGCAGUAAUACAAAAUAUUUGUUUUUACAAAUCUCAGUGCCUGACUUUUGUUCAAAAUCAUCCUAAUUUUUUAAGAUAAACAUAUGUAAUGGUUAAGCUAAAUCAAUCUUUAUCAUUAACAGAAAAAUUAAGGAAGUGUUUAAGAGGGCUCAAGCAUAGACUUCAUAAUGAUAUUGAUGGGACAUAAUCCCCAGACACUGCGCCACACCUUCAAGUAGGGGGCCAUCCCGCACUUCAGUCGAUGGAAGUCGGUCGCAGUUAUUCUCAAACACAUGCACCGAUCCAACGCCGGAUUUCGUUUGAAAAAGUAUGAAAGCUGUACCGUAUACAAACAGGAGUGAUCGUCUCAGGAGUGGUUUGUUCGAGGAUUCAAGUUAAUUGUAACAUUUUUCGUACCAUGCAUGCAUUUUUAAACGUUGUGAAAAAAAUGGGAGAAUUUAACCGCUACGGUAUUGGCGUCAUCAUUCGCAAUAUUUACGUAAAAUAAAUGCUAACUGCCCGUUUUUUUGCUUUUAACCAAGAAUCUAGACUAUUUUACGGUCAAAUCUAAAAAGAAUUUUGGGAUUUUUGCAUUUAUUCACAAGAAUUUUCAAUGUAAAAAGCUCUUUGUAGUGAUAAGGCGGCGCCACAGUGGCUUAAAUACUAGCAGCACAUUCGACAUAUUUAUGUUAAAUAAAUGCUAACUGCCCAGUUCUUUACUCUUUUAACAAAGAAUCGAGACUGUUUUACAUCCAUAUUUAUAAAGAAUUCCGAGAUUUACGCAUUUAUUCACAUGAAUUUUCAACGUAAAAAGCUCUUUGUGGUGAGAAGGCGGCGCCACAGUGGCCUAAAGACUUGCAGCACACUCGACAUAUUUAAGUAAAAUAA